rfam:Myotis davidii contig60813, whole genome shotgun sequence.
CCAGCGUGGAUACCCCUGGGAGGUCACUCUCCCUGGGUCUCUGUCCAGGUGGUAUAGGGGAGCAUACGGCUCUGCCCCACGAUGUACAGUCCCUUUCCACAAUGUUGGACAGAAAGCUGGGCCUUGAGUCUGCGCUUGCAUAUUCCUACAACUUCUCAGGGUCUUGUGGACAAUAACUGAGGAGAUAAACCAUGCAGGAAACAUAU